UACGUAGGGGGCUAGCGUUGUCCGGAUUUAUUGGGCGUAAAGAGCGUGUAGGCGGCCAGGUAGGUCUGCUGUGAAAACUCGAGGCUCAACCUCGAGACGUCGGCGGAAACCAUCUGGCUAGAGUCCGGAAGAGGAGAGUGCAAUUCCUGGUGUAGCGGUGAAAUGCGCAGAUAUCAGGAAGAACACCCGUGGCGAAGGCGGCUCUCUGGGACGGUACUGACGCUGAGACGCGGAAGCGUGGGGAGCGAACAGG
rnacentral:rRNA from 1 species